rnacentral:rRNA from 1 species
GAUGAACGCUGGCGGCGUGCCUAAUACAUGCAAGUCGAGCGAACAGAUAAGGAGCUUGCUCCUUUGACGUUAGCGGCGGACGGGUGAGUAACACGUGGGUAACCUACCUAUAAGACUGGGAUAACUUCGGGAAACCGGAGCUAAUACCGGAUAACAUUUUGAACCGCAUGGUUCUAUAGUGAAAGAUGGUUUUGCUAUCACUUAUAGAUGGACCCGCGCCGUAUUAGCUAGUUGGUAAGGUAACGGCUUACCAAGGCAACGAUGCGUAGCCGACCUGAGAGGGUGAUCGGCCACACUGGAACUGAGACACGGUCCAGACUCCUACGGGAGGCAGCAGUAGGGAAUCUUCCGCAAUGGGCGAAAGCCUGACGGAGCAACGCCGCGUGAGUGAUGAAGGGCUUCGGAUCGUAAAACUCUGUUAUUAGGGAAGAACAAAUGUGUAAGUAACUGUGCACGUCUUGACGGUACCUAAUCAGAAAGCCACGGCUAACUACGUG